rnacentral:rRNA from 1 species
AUUGAACGCUGGCGGCAGGCUUAACACAUGCAAGUCGAGCGGGGUGAUGGUGCUUGCACUAUCACUUAGCGGCGGACGGGUGAGUAAUGCUUAGGAAUCUGCCUAUUAGUGGGGGACAACAUCUCGAAAGGGAUGCUAAUACCGCAUACGUCCUACGGGAGAAAGCAGGGGAUCACUUGUGACCUUGUGCUAAUAGAUGAGACUAAGUGUGAAUAGCUAGUUGGUGGGGUAAAGGCCUACCAAGGCGACGAUCUGUAGCGGGUCUGAGAGGGUGAUCCGCCACACUGGGACUGAGACACGGCCCAGACUCCUACGGGAGGCAGCAGUGGGGAAUAUUGGACAAUGGGGGGAACCCUGAUCCAGCCAUGCCGCGUGUGUGAAGAAGGCCUUAUGGUUGUAAAGCACUUUAAGCGAGGAGGAGGCUCUUUUGGUUAAUACCCAAGAUGAGUGGACGUUACUCGCAGAAUGAGCACCGGCUAACUCUGUGCCAGCCGCCGCAGUAA